AUCAUCUGGUGGUGGCACUUCCCUUAACGCGGGUAGUGUGAAGCGCUGUGCACGAUUGAAAAUAACGCAGCCAAAUUCAACAAAAAGCCCGCAAGAGAUUGCGGGCUUUUUUGU
rfam:Shewanella algae strain BrY contig_60_1, whole genome shotgun sequence.